AGUGGCGCACGGGUGAGUAACACGUGAGUAACCUGCCCUUAAAUCUGGGAUAACUUCGCGAAAGCGACGCUAGUACCGGAUAUCGUCUAUGAAACCCCGGUUUUUUAGAUGAAAGGUGACCUCUUCAUGAAAGUUGUCGUUUAAGGAGGGGCUCGCGUACCAUUAGCUAGUUGGUGGGGUAAUGGCCUACCAAGGCGACGAUGGUUAGCUGGUCUGAGAGGAUGACUAGCCACACUGGAACUGAAACACGGUCCAGACUCCUACGGGAGGCAGCAGUGAGGAAUUUUGCGCAAUGGGGGAAACCCUGACGCAGCAACGCCGCGUGAGUGAAGAAGGCCUUCGGGUCGUAAAGCUCUGUCAAGUGGAAAAAAAUAUUUAUGGUAAAUAGCCAUAAGUCCUGAUGGUACCACUAGAGGAAGCACCGGCUAACUCCGUGCCAGCAGCCGCGGUAAUACGGAGGGUGCAAGCGUUGUUCGGAAUUACUGGGCGUAAAGAGCGUGUAGGCGGGAUGGUAAGUCAGAUGUGAAAG
rnacentral:rRNA from 1 species